rnacentral:rRNA from 1 species
CGCCGGUGAGUGAUGAAGGCUUUCGGGUCGUAAAACUCUGUUGUUAGGGAAGAACAAGUGCUAGUUGAAUAAGCUGGCACCUUGACGGUACCUAACCAGAAAGCCACGGCUAACUACGUGCCAGCAGCCGCGGUAAUACGUAGGUGGCAAGCGUUAUCCGGAAUUAUUGGGCGUAAAGCGCGCGCAGGUGGUUUCUUAAGUCUGAUGUGAAAGCCCACGGCUCAACCGUGGAGGGUCAUUGGAAACUGGGAGACUUGAGUGCAGAAGAGGAAAGUGGAAUUCCAUGUGUAGCGGUGAAAUGCGUAGAGAUAUGGAGGAACACCAGUGGCGAAGGCGACUUUCUGGUCUGUAACUGACACUGAGGCGCGAAAGCGUGGGGAGCAAACAGGAUUAGAUACCCUGGUAGUCCACGCCGUAAACGAUAGAGUGCUAAGUGUUAGAGGGUUUCCGCCCUUUAUGACUGAAGUUAACGCAUUAAGCACUCCGCCUGGGGAGUACGGCCGCAAGGCUGAAACUCAAAGGAAUUGACGGGGGCCCCGCACAAGCGGUGGAGCCAUGUGGUUUAAUUCGAAGCAAGCGAAGAACCUUACCAGGGUCUUGACAUCCUCUG